UACGUAGGGUGCAAGCGUUAAUCGGAAUUACUGGGCGUAAAGCGUGCGCAGGCGGUUUUGUAAGUCAGAUGUGAGAUCCCCGGGCUUAACCUGGGAACUGCGUUUGAAACUACAAGGCUAGAGUGUGGCAGAGGGGGGUGGAAUUCCACGUGUAGCAGUGAAAUGCGUAGAGAUGUGGAGGAACACCGAUGGCGAAGGCAGCCCCCUGGGUUAACACUGACGCUCAGGCACGAAAGCGUGGGGAGCAAACAGG
rnacentral:rRNA from 1 species